rnacentral:rRNA from 1 species
UACGAAGGGGGCUAGCGUUGCUCGGAAUUACUGGGCGUAAAGCGCACGUAGGCGGUCUUUUAAGUCGGGGGUGAAAUCCUGGAGCUCAACUCCAGAACUGCCUUCGAUACUGGAAGACUUGAGUCCGGGAGAGGUGAGUGGAACUGCGGGUGUAGAGGUGAAAUUCGUAGAUAUUCGCAAGAACACCAGUGGCGAAGGCGGCUCACUGGCCCGGUACUGACGCUGAGGUGCGAAAGCGUGGGGAGCAAACAGG